ACGCUGGCGGCGUGCCUAAUACAUGCAAGUCGAGCGGAUCGAUGGGAGCUUGCUCCCUGAGAUCAGCGGCGGACGGGUGAGUAACACGUGGGUAACCUGCCUGUAAGACUGGGAUAACUCCGGGAAACCGGGGCUAAUACCGGAUAACUCAGUUCCUCGCAUGAGGAACUGUUGAAAGGUGGCUUUUCCCUACCACUUACAAAUGGACCCGCGGCGCAUUACCUAUUUGGUGAGGUAACGGCUCACCAAGGCAACAAUGCGUACCCAACCUGAAAGGGUGAUCGGCCACACUGGGACUGAAACACGGCCCAAACUCCUACGGGAGGCACCAUUAGGGAAUCUUCCGCAAUGGACAAAAGUCUGACGGACCACCGCCCCGUGGAUUGAAAAAGGUUUUCGGAUCGUAAAACUCUGUUGUUAGGGAAAAACAAUUGCCGUUCAAAUAGGGCGGCACCUUGACGGUACCUAACCAAAAAGCCACGGCUAACUACUUGCCACCACCCGCGGUAAUACUUAGGUGGCAAGCGUUGUCCGGAAUUAUUGGGCGUAAAGCGCGCGCAGGUGGUUUCUUAA
rnacentral:rRNA from 1 species